AGUCUUAUAUUCAAUAAUGAUAUAAAAUUGCAAAUUUUAAGGGGUAAAAAUUAAUUUAUUAAGGCUU
rnacentral:tRNA from 1 species